AACGUAGGAGACAAACGUUAUCCGGAGUUACUGGGCGUAAAGGGCGUGUAGGCGGUUAGUUAAGUCUGGCGUGAAAGCUCUCGGCUAAACCGGGAGAGGUCGUUGGAUACUGGCUGACUAGAGGACGGUAGAGGCGUGUGGAAUUCCGGGUGUAGUGGUGAAAUGCGUAGAGAUCCGGAGGAACACCAGUGGCGAAGGCAACACGCUGGGCCGUACCUGACGCUAAAGCGCGACAGCAUGGGGAGCAAACGGG
rnacentral:rRNA from 1 species